AUUGAACGCUGGCGGCAGGCCUAACACAUGCAAGUCGAACGAGUGGCGGACGGGUGAGUAAUGUCUGGGAAACUGCCCGAUGGAGGUGGAUAACUACUGGAAACGCUAGCUAAUACCGCAUACCAUUGGAUGUGCCCAGCGGGGAUUAGCUAGUAGGGGGGGUAACGGCUCACCUAGGCGACGAUCCCGAGCUGGUCUGAGAGGAGGACCAGCCACACUGGAACUGAGACACGGUCCAGACUCCUACGGGAGGCAGCAGUGGGGAAUAUUGGACAAUGGGCGCAAGCCUGAUGCAGCCAUGCCGCGUGUAUGAAGAAGGCCUUCGGGUUGUAAAGUACUUUAAGCGAGGAGGCGUUACUCGCAGAAGAAGCACCGGCUAACUCCGUGCCAGCCGCCGCGGUAAUAC
rnacentral:rRNA from 1 species